rnacentral:lncRNA from 1 species
ACUAUCCAGUAGGGUGACAAUAUUUUUGCAAAAAAAAAAAAAAAAAAAUUGAAUACUGCAUCUUUUGUAAACCCCUGAGUGAUAUCAAAACGAUGGCUCCAUAAUUAACCAUAAUUUCAAAACUUUCUUUGUUUGUUAUAAAUAUUUUUUUACUUCUUAAAAAUGUAUCAUUUGGAGAAGAAAAAAUGCAGAUUUAAAGUUUAGUUUUUCAUUCAAUGAAUAGAAUAACAUUGCAUUGCAAAACUUUUUACAGCAGUUUUGAACAUUUUUAAACUGUUAACAAAACUACUUAUAAUAAAUUGUGUAUAUAGAAAAAAAGUCGUAGUAAACAUAGUUUCAGCCAACAUGUAGACACAAAGAUGCAAUCAAGUAUUGAAAAAAAGCUGAAACAUGUUAGAUAUCUGAAUGUCAGUUGUAGGAGGCUCCUUUACCUUUUUAAAUCUCCUAUUUCUUUUUUACCUCUGAAUCAGCUUCCAACUGAUGGGUUACUUCUAAAACAUUAUCAAUAUUUAAUCAGCAGUAGAUCAAAACAAUUCAAAAGUAUUUACAAUAAUUUUUCUUGUCCUAUGGGAUCAAAUUUUAACAUAAAAUGCAAAGGAAAAACAACGUGUUAUCAGGGAAAUGGAGAUUUAUGUCUUCUUAGAAAAAUAGUGAACAUCUGCGAGUCCUGUGGUUUUAAAAACUAUAUUAUUGGAGAGGAUUAAAUAUUUUCAAAAAUGCUAGAAAACAGUUUAUAAGUGGGCAUAUAGAUAAAGAACUUGAAGAAAAGAUUGUAUGUAGACAAGAGAGAUACCGUACCUAUGUAGAUUAUAAGAAAAAAAUGUCAAUGGAGGCUGAAUAUCAUAAUGACAAGAACGACGAUUACUUAGAUUUAGAAGAUUAAGAACACUCAAUUAAAAAUGCUAAUGGAAAUUAUUCAAAUGAGAAAAAGUCGAUAUCUGAAUACUAUUUAUAAUACUGAUGAGGAUGAAUAUCAACAAAAAACAUCAAACAACGCAAAAAAAAAAAAAAAAAAUUAACGACAUACCACUUAUGCUUCAAUCGAUUUCAAUCCUUAUCAAUAAAAAAAUUACUCAAGAUGGCCUAAUUGCAGCUACAACUUCCCUAAGUGUAAGAACCGGGUUAAGCUACUGAGAUCAAACAAUGUUUAUAGCUAGUGUUAUGAACUACCUUGAAGUAAAUAUGAAAAAAAUUAAGAUAAAUAGAGAAACAGUCAGAUUGAAGCGUUAUAAGAUUGUUCAAAAUCACAAAAAUGAAAUUAGACAGAAUUAUAUCGAGGAAAUGAGAGGAAAAAAUUUUAUUCUUCCCUUUGAUGGCAAACUAGUUACACAUUUGUAUAAGGAAAUCCAACAAACAGUUACAAGAAAUAGAAUUGCUGUGUCUGUUACUAGUCCUGAAUUUCAAUACAAGGACGAUCUUCUUUUAGCAAUUGUUCCAUGUGACACAGGUAAAGCAUCUGAUCAGGCUUAGUAAUUCAAAAUUUGUUAGAAUAUUUUAAAGUUUCAGACCAAGUAUUUGCUGUUUGUGUUGAUAUUACAGCAACCAACACUGGUAGGAAAAAAAGUGCAAUUAUAAUAUUGACAUAAGUAUUUCAGAAACUUUUAUUGUGGCUAUUAUAUCGAUUCCACAAACAUGAAAUACAUAUUAAACAUAUUUAAAAAUCAAAAAAUGGAGAUAACACCAAGGGUUCACGAAAGGCCUUUUACCCUAACUUUAAGAAACGAUGGGAAAAUUUUGUCCCAUUUUUAUCUACUUGUGGUGUCUCUUCUAGUUUUAAAAAGUUUGGUAAGAAUACUCUCAUAAUUGGUUCUGGAAUUCAUCAAAUGUACUUGGAGGCUAAAACAUAUAUUAAAUUUGUUCAGGAAUUUCAGAUUUUCCCCCAAGAUGAUUACAGACAUCUUGUGAUCUUGUGGAAUACUUAACUUUCUAUCUUAAUAUUCAGUCUGACAAGCUAAAGAGCUUUAGGGUUCAUCAACUAGAUGCAUUAAAGCUAGAUUUAUGGCAGAUGCAUUAUAUCACAUGACUUUGGAAUUGACAUCGCCAAUUAUAAAAUAAUUAAAUUAAAACCAGCAGAUUCUAGUCUCCAAAGUUUGUCUAGUGGUUGUUAUAUUUUAUGCUCCACGGUUUUUAAAAUCCAGUCUUGCUGAACAUUCAGUAUUGGAUGACUUCAAUUCAUUUGGAGGAAUGGGAUACUGAUGUAGGAACUUCACUUUUAAAUAGUUUAAAUAGUUUAAUCUCAUUCCUGGUAUCUUUCACCUAAAGCAGUAGUCAUGGCUCUUGCUGAUUCUGACCUUAAAAUUCAAAUAAAGUUUGACAUUUUAAAGGCCUUGUUGGAACCUGGGGUUACUGACAUAAGUGAAAUUAGUAUAGAGAAACCACUUUCCUUUUUAGUAGAUGAAAAUACUAAACUUUGUGAACUUGUAACCUGUGAAAGCUGAUUUCUUUUUGUCGUUAUGGACUUAGUAAAGGAAAAAAAGAUUUGGUUGGAAGCAUUGCAGAAUAUAGAAGGUUUAGAGUCAAUACCCUCGUACAAGAAAUUUGUCCUUUUUAUUAAACAACUCAGUGUCACAAAUGAUUGUUCUGAAAGAAACUUGGACUUAUACAAAAGUUUGUGAACUCUUUACACUCUGAGGAUCAGAGACAAAAUAUUUUGCUAGUUGUUCGAUUAAAUUGAAAACAGAUUUCAAAGAAUGUUUAUCAGAAAGAUUUUGUUAAUAUGAAAUAGAUAUUGUUAUAUAAUCCUGUAAAUGCAAA